rnacentral:rRNA from 1 species
UACAGAGGGUGCGAGCGUUGUCCGGAAUCACUGGGCGUAAAGGGCGCGUAGGUGGCGCUCCAAGUCCGUGGUGAAAGCUCGAUGCUUAACAUCGAGUCGGCCACGGAGACUGGAGGGCUCGAGCACUGUAGGGGCAGAUGGAAUUCCGGGUGUAGCGGUGGAAUGCGUAGAGAUCCGGAAGAACACCGGUGGCGAAGGCGGUUCUCUGGGACGGUACUGACGCUGAGACGCGAAAGCGUGGGGAGCGAACAGG